AGAUACCCGCUCUGGACCUCAGUUUUGUCACCUGUUGAAUAGGAAGCUGUUGGCACGCUUAUGAAAUCCACUGGGUCCCCACCUUGGGAGGACCUCUGGGAGGUCUUUCCUCAGUUGCCCCGGAUGCUCCUACACACGGGGCACUUUCUCUUUCCCCAAGUCUUGCUGGGGCCUCUGCCCUGGGCCUCUCCAAACCCCCAGGAUAGCGGUGCAGCCGCCCACUCGCCUUUACCUGCAGGGAGAUCCAGCCGGGCAACGGCUCCUCUGAUCUGGCGAACAGCACCAACCGCGGCCCGCGCGCGUCUGCCAGUCCGCUGUUGUGACUGGUUGCUAGGCGACAGUGAGCCGCGCCUGCGCAGUUAGCGCCCGCGUGCGCCUGGGCACUGGAAACGCCAGCUUGGCUGCCCCAUAUCCCAGCCGCGGUUAGAGAUGUCCAAGCUCUCACCUCCCUGGACCUGCUCUGAAGUUAAUACGUACGGGAAUCCAUGCAGGUUGAAGCAGUUCUCAACUGGAAGAGGUCUGUACAUCUACAGAGUUGGGAUGUACUGGGAUCAGCAUCUGGGAAGUGGCACACUUAUCACUCCAGAUCUAGAUUCUCUGUGGAAGGAACUGAUAUUGUGCUCCAGAGUGAUUUUCUCUGCUUCUCUCUACCUUUAUCUUGCAGUCUCUGCUUCCUACCAGGGCCUUCCAGGGUAGAGAGGGCUGCACGAGAGCUGGAGCUCAGCCAUAGCGGUGAUGGGCAGUCACGGAGGCGGCGUUUUCCAGGGCGGUGCCCAUUCCUAUCAGAGCCCAGGACUCCUCAGCUCCAGUUCUGGAAGAUCCUGAGCAGGCCCACCUGUGAACGACUGCGCAGAGGAAGAAACUAACAGAUCCCCUUCAGCGCGUGGCUGAACCAGGACUUUAUCCCUCCUCUUCUAGUGUAAAAGAAGCCUGAAUUCUAACUUGGGCAAGAUGCUCCUUUAGAACAUGAGUUUGCCAUUUUCUGUCUGCUGACUUUCCGAAUAAAAUCGCUGUUCCUUGCCCAACACCUCGUAUCCUGAUAGACUGACGCGUCCUGCGGUGAGUGGGAUGAGCUUGAACUUAGUAACACAUUUUGGUAAAACCAGCCAGGAGUCUUUCUGCUUGUGACCAGCUGGCCUGGCAAUGAGGAAUUCUCAAGUAAGGCCAUAGCAGCUGCUGGUACCACUUAUCCUAAGUAUCUUCCCUUCAGAAUUACCCAAAGCGACCCUGGCUGCCCCAGCACUUGGCAACUGGAGCAAGGAAUUGACAUCUGGGAGCUGCGGGGCUCCAUACAGUAGGGUACGUGCUCUGGUAUGUAUAGACAGAACUUUAAUUUCCUUCUUUUGGGGUGUUUUCCCCUCCGGAAUAAGCUGAUUUGUUUUAUAUCAG
rnacentral:lncRNA from 1 species